AAGUCUAGCCUGCCCAAUGAGUAGUUGAAUGGCCGCAGUAUUUUGACUGUGCAAAGGUAGCAUAAUCAUUAGUUUCUUAAUUAGAAACUGGUAUGAAAGGUUGGACGAGAAAAUAGCUGUCUCUUUAUAAAUUUUUUAGAAUUUUAUUUUUAAGUUAAAAAGCUUAAAUUUAUUUAAAAGACGAGAAGACCCUAUAGAGUUUUAUAUAUCUUUAGUUUAAUAAUGAAUAUAGAAUUAUUAAAAUUUUAUUUGGGGUUAUAUUUGAUUGGGGUGAUUAAAAAAUUUAAAUAACUUUUUUUAUAUAUAAACAUUAAUUUAUGAAUUAUUGAGCCAUAAAAUAUAUUAUGAUUAAAAGAUUAAAUUACCUUAGGGAUAACAGCGUAAUUUCUUUUAAGAGUUCAAAUCGAUAAAGAAGUUUGCGACCUCGAUGUUGGAUUAAAAUUUAAUUUAGGUGUAGAAGCUUAAAUAUUAGGUCUGUUCGACCUUUAAAAUUUUACAUGAUCUGAGUUUAAACCGGUGUAAGCCAGGUUGGUUUCUAUCUUUAAAUCAUUCAAAUAUUUUAGUACGAAAGGACCAAAUAUUAUUAUUAUAU
rnacentral:rRNA from 1 species